UACAGAGGUCCCAAGCGUUGUUCGGAUUCAUUGGGCGUAAAGGGUGCGUAGGCGGCGCGGUAAGUCGGGUGUGAAAUCUCGGAGCUUAACUCCGAAACUGCAUUCGAUACUGCCGUGCUUGAGGACUGGAGGAGGAGACUGGAAUUUACGGUGUAGCGGUGGAAAUGCGUAGAUAAUCGUAAGGAAGACCAGUGGCGAAAGGCGGGUCGUCUGGACAGUUCCUGACGCUGAGGCACGAAGGCCAGGGGAGCAAACGGGA
rnacentral:rRNA from 1 species